AGCGAACGUUUGCGGCGGGCCUAACACAUGCAAGUCGAACGGGCAGUCCCUUCGGGGGCUGUCAGUGGCGCACGGGUGCGUAACACGUAGGUAAUCAACCCUCGGGUUCGGGAUAACACUUCGAAAGGGGUGCUAAUACCGGAUGCGACGAGCGUCUCCUCGGAGAUGCACGGGAAAGAUCCGCAAGGGUCGCCCGAGGACGAGCCUGCGGCCCAUCAGCUUGUUGGUGAGGUAAUGGCUCACCAAGGCUAAGACGGGUAGCUGGUCUGAGAGGAUGAUCAGUCACACUGGAACUGAGACACGGUCCAGACUCCUACGGGAGGCAGCAGUGGGGAAUAUUGCGCAAUGGGCGAAAGCCUGACGCAGCCACGCCGCGUGAGCGAUGAAGG
rnacentral:rRNA from 1 species